GCGUAAACUCGGACGUCUGUCCAACAGGCUCUUCGUACGCUACCUUAAUAACUCAGCGGGCCUACUUUUCUGUUUAGGCUAGAAUUUCAAUGUCUGCCAUUAAUUUACGUUCUAUUUACGUUCUAAUUUAUGUUCUUUUCUCACGUGAUCUCAGGGAAUCAGGCAAAUUUAUUUGCACAAGAACAUGUGUGUCGUCCUCUUUAUUGCUCCACACAAAGCAAAUACUGCGUAAGAUAAAUGGCUUUAGAGCGCUGCGGCAAUAAACAGAAGGGCAGCGUUUACAUUUCCAGUCCAUGCUGGGACCAGCUGAAGGUAAAUAACAAAACGGUGUUAUGUUGUGCUGAUGAUGAGGUGGUUUAUGUUUGAUAUUAGGGCCGACAUUUCAAAGAGGACUGUUUCCUGAGCGUGUCCUGGAGCUCUAUGCUGGUUGGCAUGGAAGUGGACCCAGAGUUCCUCUAGUCACCAUCUGGAGCGUUACCUCCUUCGUCAGGGUCCAGCAGUAUGAAAGCAGCCUGCAGCUCAGCAGAAAGGUCCUGAUCUCCCAGAUCAACAGCUGCUUCAACAAGAGGAGCGGUUUGGAGCUGGCUCCAUCCGCAGACGCACACAUCUCCAGGGAGUGGGCCGAGGUGUGACGGAGCCAGACAUUAAACAGAAGCUGGGCCAGGUUAGAGGGGCCAGGCGUGGGAGACGGGAGAGAGCGUGUGGGAUAGAGCCCUGUGUAGGCACCAACUUAACCCCCUCCCCCUCAUCUCCGGUCCUAUCUGCUCACCCACGCGCUCCUCUCCAUCCCCACUCCCCCUCGCGCCUCUAUUUUCUCUUCCAUUGUAUUCUGCAGCCCUCUGCCCACACUGCAAGCUCCACGCCCAGACGGAGCACAAGAGCCUGCGUGUUUUGCUCAGAAGUGACAGACAAGAAUUUCGCCGCGGUUCUCCCGCCGACUGGCGGCGUUUCCAUUCCUCGCUCGGGACGACUCGGGGCGCUCCGUGCAGCUCCAAACAAACAUGGGCCAACAUAUACAGAGGGCGGGGAGCUAAUCAGUCCCAUACCGGCGUUUCAGUCAACACACGGUCAGACGCGAGCAGACGAAAGCCUGUCCACGUCACGCUAGCAUGACAGGAGGACGGAACUGGAGAGACCGGUUUAAAAACACCUAAAGGACUCAAUACUUACAAAAGAUAGGGGAAACAUGGAGGAUGGUAGAGCUAAAGUGACAUUUAUACAUGUUUUAGAGGUCUGGGUUGUAUUAAAGUACUAAUAAACUGUACUUGUGGAAGCAGGAGUGGUUGUAUUGACGCUAAGCUGAUUAACAGAAUAGAAGCUGCAAUAAAACGUGUCCACUGACGACCCGUUUGAAGUGUAUUUGCGAGGCG
rnacentral:lncRNA from 1 species